rnacentral:rRNA from 1 species
GGGCCCGCACAAGCGGUGGAGUAUGUGGUUUAAUUCGAUGCAACGCGAAGAACCUUACCAGGGUUUGACAUCCUGCGAAUCUCUUGGAAACAGGAGAGUGCCUUCGGGAACGCAGUGACAGGUGGUGCAUGGCUGUCGUCAGCUCGUGUCGUGAGAUGUUGGGUUAAGUCCCGCAACGAGCGCAACCCACGUCUUUAGUUGCCAGCAUUUAGUUGGGCACUCUAGAGAGACCGCCGGUGAUAAACCGGAGGAAGGUGUGGAUGACGUCAAGUCAUCAUGCCCCUUACAUCCUGGGCUACACACGUGCUACAAUGGUCGGUACAGAAAGCAGCCACUAUGCGAAUAGGAGCUAAAUCUUUAAAACCGAUCUCAGUUCGGAUCGCAGUCUGCAACUCGACUGCGUGAAGCUGGAAUCGCUAGUAAUCG